GACGAACGCUGGCGGCGUGCCUAACACAUGCAAGUCAACGAGAAAGGGUAGCAAUAUCCUGAGUAAAGUGGCGCACGGGUGAGUAACACGUAGGUAAUCUGCCAUCAGGACGGGGACAACCACGCGAAAGACGUAGCUAAUACCCGAUGAAUCAGCGAUGCCGCAUGGCAUUGCUGUUAAAUACCGCAAGGUGCCCGAUGAUGAACCUGCGUCCCAUUAGGUAGUUGGUGAGGUAACGGCUCACCAAGCCGACGAUGGGUAGCUGGUCUGAGAGGAUGAUCAGCCACACUGGAACUGAGACACGGUCCAGACUCCUACGGGAGGCAGCAGUGAGGAAU
rnacentral:rRNA from 1 species